rnacentral:tRNA from 1 species
GGCACUUUGGCCGAGUGGUUAAGGCGAAAGACUUGAAAUCUUUUGGGAUUUUCCCGCGCAGGUUCGAGUCCUGCAGGUGUCG